AACGCUGGCGGCAUGCCUAACACAUGCAAGUCGAACGAGACCUUCGGGUCUAGUGGCGCACGGGUGCGUAACACGUGGGAAUUUGCCUCGGGGUAUGGAAUAACUCAGGGAAACUUGAGCUAAUACCAUAUAAUGUCUUCGGACCAAAGAUUUAUCGCCCUGAGAUAAGCCCGCGUAGGAUUAGCUAGUUGGUGAGGUAAAGGCUCACCAAGGCGACGAUCCUUAGCUGGUCUGAGAGGAUGAUCAGCCACACUGGGACUGAGACACGGCCCAGACUCCUACGGGAGGCAGCAGUGGGGGAAUAUUGGACAAUGGGCGAAAGCCUGAUCCAGCAAUGCCGCGUGAGUGAUGAAGGCCUUCGGGUUGUAAAGCUCUUUUACUCGGGACGAUAAUGACGGUACCGAGAGAAUAAGCCCCGGCUAACUCCGUG
rnacentral:rRNA from 1 species